rnacentral:rRNA from 1 species
CGCAUUAUAAAACCUAAUUCAUAAAAACCCACUACUUUAAAAAUUUUUAUUACUACCAAGUCCAACUUCAUAAAUAAAUUACACUACUUAAUCCGAUUAAAUAUUAUAAAUUGUAGCUCACUUUAAAACCUUUCUCAUUAACUGCAUUUUGACUUGACAUCAUAACUAAAUCGUUAUUAAGUUUUUUACAAAAUUUUUACAAAAUAAACUGACGACAGCAAUAUACAAACUGUUUACAAUUCAAAAAAAAGUAAGUAUAAAUUGAGGAUUAUCAAAUUAAUAAGCAAACUCCCCUAGAAGGAUAUAUAACACCGCCAAGCCUUUUAAAUUUCAAACAUAUAAAAUAUAUUUAUAAUAUGUUCAUACUACUUAAGUAAAAAAUUUUUAAGAUAAAGAA